rnacentral:rRNA from 1 species
GAUGAACGCUAGCGAUAGGCUUAACACAUGCAAGUCGAGGGGCAGCGAGGGUAGCAAUACCUGUCGGCGACCGGCGCACGGGUGAGUAACGCGUAUGUAACCUGCCCGCAACAGGGGGAUAACCCGGCGAAAGUCGGACUAAUACCGCAUAAAACAGGGGUCCCGCAUGGGAAUAUUUGUUAAAGAUUUAUCGGUUGCGGAUGGGCAUGCGUACCAUUAGGUAGUUGGUGAGGUAACGGCUCACCAAGCCUUCGAUGGUUAGGGGUUCUGAGAGGAAGGUCCCCCACACUGGUACUGAGACACGGACCAGACUCCUACGGGGGGCAGCAGUGAGGAAUAUUGGUCAAUGGGCGAGAGCCUGAACCAGCCAAGUCGCGUGAAGGAUGACUGCCCUAUGGGUGGUAAACUUCUUUUACAAGGGAAUAAAAUGAGAUACGUGUAUUUUAUUGCAUGUACCUUGGGAAUAAGCAUCGGCUAACUCCGUG